GUUGUACAAACUUUCUCUGUUGAUAUUAAUAUAGUUCCUCAUCAUUUUACCAAAAAAAAAAAAAUUUACCCACUAUUACAAUGAUAAAAAAAUCCAUCUCUGCAGAUGAGGGGUAAGAAGGGAACAAAAAUCAUACAAGGGGGUUGGGUUGGGGGGGGGGGGGAGGAAGAAAUGAUGGGCGGAUUUCACAAUUUGCCAUAUUUCUCUUAACAUCAAUCUUAAUAAAAUAAUUUAAAAAUAAAUUUAUUUUUACUAAUAGAAUCAUUAAUAUUAUGAUAAAUAUAUAUAUAUAUAGUAUUUUUUUUCUUUCUUAUUUUCAGUACAUAUUUUUUAUCAGUAUAUAUUAUAUGACUGUAUAAUAUAUACUAAAUAAAUUAAUCAUCAAAUAAGUUAAUACACAUCUCUAAAUAAAUUAAUAUAUAAUUUUUAAAAUAUCGAGUUCAUCAAUAUACCGUAUAUAGUCACAUAGUACACAGUUAGCAAAUUAGUUAUCCAGCAAUACAAUACACACCUCCAAGCAAAUUGAUAUACAGUUUCUGAAAUAUUAUGUUCAUCAAUACAUACUAUAUAGUCGGUGAUACUCAUCGAAUUUUUUAUACAUACCGCAAGUAUUUUUUAUAUAUACUUAAUAACAAUCUAAUACAUAUCUCUAAAUAAAAUACAUAUUUUAAAAAUUAUAUAUCAAUUUAUCUAAAAAUAUGUAUUAAAUUAUUACUGGAUAUAUAUCAAAAAAACUUAUGAUAUGUAUCAAGAAGUCGAAAAGUAUAUGUCACCAUACAAUAUAGUAUGUAUUGGUGAAUAUAAUAUUUCAAAAAUUAUAUAUUAAUUUGUUUAGAAGUGUACACUAGAUUGUUAAAUGACUUAUUUACUAAGUAUAUAUCAUCUAAUUAUAUACUAUGUAUUGAUGAACUUCAUAUUCUAAAAACUAUAUAUCAAUUUAUCUUGAAA
rnacentral:lncRNA from 1 species